rnacentral:rRNA from 1 species
AUUGAACGCUGGCGGAAUGCUUUACACAUGCAAGUCGAACGGCAGCACGGGGCAACCUGGUGGCGAGUGGCGAACGGGUGAGUAAUACAUCGGAACGUGCCCAAUCGUGGGGGAUAACGUAGCGAAAGUUACGCUAAUACCGCAUACGAUCUACGGAUGAAAGCGGGGGAUCGCAAGACCUCGCGCGAAUGGAGCGGCCGAUGUCAGAUUAGGUAGUUGGUGGGGGUAAAGGCUCACCAAGCCGACGAUCUGUAGCUGGUCUGAGAGGACGACCAGCCACACUGGGACUGAGACACGGCCCCAGACUCCUACGGGAGGCAGCAGUGGGGAAUUUUGGACAAUGGGCGCAAGCCUGAUCCAGCCAUUCCGCGUGCAGGAUGAAGGCCUU